GUAAAAUAAUUUUUAUCACAUUUCUUUACUCCUUGAGUCUAGAUGAACCAUUUUCAUAACUAUAGCAACUCAUAAUUUCAACUAUUUUACACAUUACAACUCAUUUUACAACUUAGCAAUCUAGCCCUUUUUAAGGUGUUUUCAUGCAAUUUCUUUCACAAAAGUUGUUAAUUAGACAACUAGGACUCAUAAUCUUCCAUAAAAA
rnacentral:lncRNA from 1 species